UGCGCCCAACGACCUGCUCGCGUAUUUGGUGCGGCGGCUCCUCGAGAAUGGCGCAAAUUCCAGCUUCCUCAAGAGGCUAGCGCAGGGGCGCGACGACCUGAUGAACGUGGACGUCCUGUGCGAGCGGGAGCCCGAGGUGUCCACCGUGAUAGGCACCCCCGUCGUCGUCGCCGAGGAGAGUUCGGGGGUCCCCGCGAUGCCGAGGAACAUCUACGGCGACACCAGGCUCAGCGCGAAGGGCGUCGACUUUGAGCACCCCAACUUCCCGGCGGCGUUCGCGGCGCAAAAGGCGUACGGUCCCGCGUUCAAACCUCUGGUUUGCACCGGCGAGGACAGUCUCGCCGAGUUGACGGCUCGUCUGGGUACCUUCAGGCCCA
rnacentral:lncRNA from 1 species